AGAAAUGCUCCACUCCAGGCAGCCAAACCCAGGAUCCAUCUGGUAGACAUGUUAGUCAGUGACCCCAACAGCUCAGCACAUUUCUACCUAUUGAGAUAGAGUAAAAAUGACUCCUACAGCCCUAAAGUUCAGUUUUAUAACACAGAGGAUGAUGUAAUUGAAACCAAGCCCCCAAAGCCACACUGGUAUGGAGGAUGAAAGUGCAACCAUGGAGGAAAGGCAAACAACAAACAGAGGGGCAUGGAGCAUAUUCCUAGAGAAUAAUGAACAUAAAAUGUCACAAGGCGUACAGGGAUUGAAGAGCAUUGAUUACACAGAACAGAAGCUGAUACAAAUAAGACUG
rnacentral:lncRNA from 1 species